rnacentral:antisense_RNA from 1 species
GUUACUCAAGCUUUUAAAGAAAAGCCCUGCAAUGCAGGGCUUAAAAUUUAUUAACAUCAGAUAAGAGAUAGCAGUCCUGAGUAAGUCUUUAGAAUUUCGGAGUGCUAUAAAAAGUAUGGUAGGCACGAGUGGGAUCGAACCACCGACCACCACCA